ACGAACGCUGGCGGCGUGCCUAAUACAUGCAAGUCGAGCGAAUCUUUGGGAGCUUGCUCCCAUUGGUUAGCGGCGGACGGGUGAGUAACACGUGGGCAACCUGCCUGUAAGACUGGGAUAACACCGGGAAACCGGUGCUAAUACUGGAUAAUCCUUUUCCUCUCAUGAGGAAAAGCUGAAAGACGGUUUCGGCUGUCACUUACAGAUGGGCCGCGGCGCAUUAGCUAGUUGGUGAGGUAACGGCUCACCAAGGCGACGAUGCGUAGCCGACCUGAGAGGGUGAUCGGCCACACUGGGACUGAGACACGGCCCAGACUCCUACGGGAGGCAGCAGUAGGGAAUCUUCCGCAAUGGACGAAAGUCUGACGGAGCAACGCCGCGUGAGCGAUGAAGGCCUUCGGGUCGUAAAGCUCUGUUGUUAGGGAAGAACAAGUAUCGGAGUAACUGCCGGUACCUUGACGGUACCUAACCAGAAAGCCACGGCUAACUACGUGCCAGCAGCCGCGGUAAUACGUAGGUGGCAAGCGUUGUCCGGAAUUAUUGGGCGUAAAGCGCGCGCAGGCGGUCCUUUAAGUCUGAUGUGAAAGCCCACGGCUCAACCGUGGAGGGUCAUUGGAAACUGGGGGACUUGAGUGCAGAAGAGGAAAGCGGAAUUCCACGUGUAGCGGUGAAAUGCGUAGAGAUGUGGAGGAACACCAGUGGCGAAGGCGGCUUUCUGGUCUGUAACUGACGCUGAGGCGCGAAAGCGUGGGGAGCAAACAGGAUUAGAUACCCUGGUAGUCCACGCCGUAAACGAUGAGUGCUAGGUGUUAGAGGGUUUCCGCCCUUUAGUGCUGCAGCUAACGCAUUAAGCACUCCGCCUGGGGAGUACGGCCGCAAGGCUGAAACUCAAAGGAAUUGACGGGGGCCCGCACAAGCGGUGGAGCAUGUGGUUUAAUUCGAAACAACGCGAAGAACCUUACCAGGUCUUGACAUCCUCUGACACUCCUAGAGAUAGGACCUUCCCCUUCGGGGGACAGAGUGACAGGUGGUGCAUGGUUGUCGUCAGCUCGUGUCGUGAGAUGUUGGGUUAAGUCCCGCAACGAGCGCAACCCUUGAUCUUAGUUGCCAGCAUUCAGUUGGGCACUCUAAGGUGACUGCCGGUGACAAACCGGAGGAAGGUGGGGAUGACGUCAAAUCAUCAUGCCCCUUAUGACCUGGGCUACACACGUGCUACAAUGGAUGGUACAAAGGGCAGCAAAGCCGCGAGGCCUAGCCAAUCCCAUAAAACCAUUCUCAGUUCGGAUUGUAGGCUGCAACUCGCCUACAUGAAGCCGGAAUCGCUAGUAAUCGCGGAUCAGCAUGCCGCGGUGAGUACGUUCCCGGGCCUUGUACACACCGCCCGUCACACCACGAGAGUUUGUAACACCCGAAGUCGGUGGGGUAACCGUAAGGAGCCAGCCGCCUAAGGUGGGACAGAUGAUUGGGGUG
rnacentral:rRNA from 1 species